rnacentral:rRNA from 1 species
UACGAAGGGGGCUAGCGUCGCUCGGAAUCACUGGGCGUAAAGCGCACGUAGGCGGACUCUUAAGUCGGUGGUGAAAUCCUGGAGCUCAACUCCAGAACUGCCUUCGAUACUGGGAGUCUCGAGUCCGGGAGAGGUGAGUGGAACUGCGAGUGUAGAGGUGAAAUUCGUAGAUAUUCGCAAGAACACCAGUGGCGAAGGCGGCUCACUGGCCCGGUACUGACGCUGAGGUGCGAAAGCGUGGGGAGCAAACAGG